UCACCUUGAAAUACUAUUUCCCAUAUGAACACCAAAGUUAAGCAACAUCGACCCUGGUCAGUACCUAGAUUGGUGACUGUUUUGGGAAUACCAGGUGCUGUAAG